GACCGUGCAAAGGUAGCAUAAUCAUUAGUCUUUUAAUUGGAGGCUGGAAUGAAGGGCUGCACGAGGUAUAAACUGUCUUAUUUGAAUUGUUAUUAGAACUUAAUUUUUAAGUUAAAAAGCUUAAAUUUUUUUAAAGGACGAGAAGACCCUAUAGAACUUUAUAUCAAUGUGAAGUAGGGGGUAUUUGGUUGUUUCUAUGCCUAUUUGUAUUUUUAUUUUGUUGGGGUGAUGGGAAAAUAAAAUGAACUUUUUUUGUUGAUUUACAUUAAUGUAUGAGUAUUUGAUCCAUUUUUAGUGAUUAUAAGAUUAAGUUACCUUAGGGAUAACAGCGUAAUUUUCCCUUAGAGUUCUUAUCGACGGGGGAGCUUGCGACCUCGAUGUUGGAUUAAGAUUAAUUUUUGGUGUAGAAGCUGAAAUAUUAGGUCUGUUCGACCUUUAAAUUCUUACA
rnacentral:rRNA from 1 species